UGGCUGCAGAACGAACGCUGGCGGCGUGCUUAACACGAUGGCAACGUCGAGCGAGAAAUGGGGGGCAACCCCCUGAGUAGAGCGGCGCACGGGUGAGUAACGCCGUGGGUGAACCUACCCCCAGCGGGGGAUAACACUCGAAAGGGUGGCUCAAUACCGCAUGAGGACCACGGGAUCUUCGGGUCCUGAGGCCAAAGGCUGCGAUCGGCUUGCCGGUGUAGUCACCAGGGGAUGGGCCCGCGUCCGAUUAGCUAGUUGGUGGGGUAACGGCUCACCAAGGCUACGAUCGGUAGCUGGUCUGAGAGGAUGAUCAGCCACACUGGAACUGAAACACGGUCCAGACUCCUACGGGAGGCAGCAGUGAGGAAUAUUGCGCAAUGGGGGGAAACCCUGACGCAGCAACGCCGCGUGGGUGAAGAAGGCCUUCGGGUCGUAAAGCCCUUUCGGACGGGACGAACGCUCCGCGGGGACAAGCCGCGGAGUCUGACGGUACCGUAGGAAGAAGCACCGGCUAACUCCGUGCCAGCAGCCGCGGUAA
rnacentral:rRNA from 1 species